rnacentral:rRNA from 1 species
UUAAAGGAAUUGACGGAAGGGCACCACCAGGCUUGGGGCCUGCGGCUUAAUUUGACUCAACACGGGACAGUCUACCCGGUCCGGACGCAGGAAGGAUUGACAGAUUAAGAGCUCUUUCUUGAUUCUGCGGGAGGUGGUGCAUGGCCGUUUUUAGUUGGUGGAGCGAUUUGUCUGGUUUAUUCCGAUAACGAGCGAGAUCCUAGCCUACUAAAUAGACGUUCCCUUCCUUCCCGAGGGACGCUCUUCUUAGAGGGACAAGCGGCGACCAGCCGCGCGAGACAGG